ACUUCGUGCGUUGAAUCAUGAAGUUGCUGCACUGCUGAAGUCUCGACAGUCGAAAACGACCCAUACAUCAUGACGGAGACGCUCUCCCUGGUGUUCUCUUACGGUACUCUCAAAAGAGGGUUCCGAAACCACUACAACAUGGAGAGGGACGGCAUCAAGUACUUC
rnacentral:ribozyme from 1 species